rnacentral:rRNA from 1 species
UCUCUCUGAAUCUGCGUACGGCUCCGCAAACCAGUUGUAAACUAUAGCAAGCAAGCACGGGGGACCAGCCUUCACGGGUCGGGCCCUCGGGCGAUACGGAUAACCCUGGUAAUUCUGAGGCUAAUACGAGAACGUAACACCUGGUUGACCGAGCCCUCGUCCUCGUGGUGGGGAUACUUGGGAUGCUGGGAAGCGUGCGAGUACUAAUGCGAAGAAAAACCGGGAACGGGCGCACGCUUGGACCGCGCUACAAAAGGAUCAGGUCUCGGCUAUCCCUCCGGGGUGCGCCUUGGCUUGGCCCUAGCGGCUCUUGCGGUGUGCUUCUGACCUAUCAACUAGACGGCAGCGUAACGGACAUGCUAUGGUUACAACGGGUACAGAGGAUUAGGGUUCGAUCCUGGAGAGUGGGCCUGAGAGAUCUCC